UGCUUCUUUUUUUUUCAAAUUUUGACCUCAUCCCAGAGGAGAGCGCGCGCCAACGGCUCUGAACCCAUGCAUGGAGAAAAUUGCUGUUAUUCUGUAUAUUACCGUUUAAAACUGCAUGAGUUCAGCUUUUAUUUAUGCUUUUUUUCAAUUUGCCUUUGUUAUCAUUCUUUGUUUGUGUGAGGAGGACGUCCUGAGAGUCCUGUGGGUUGUUGAAUUGCACCCGCCACCCCUCGUCACUCAUCUGCAUCUUUCUUGAGACCAAUUUUCUGUGAAGGAAUGACGCUUCUUUGUUUGUUUGAGAAGGACGUCCUGAGAGUCUUCCCGCCUACCUGGAGAAGCCCUUCCUGUGGGUUGUGGAAUUGCACCCACCUGGAGAAGCCCUUACUGUGGGUUGUGGAAUUGCACCUGCCGCUCCUCGUCACUCAUCUGCAUCUUUCUUGAGACCAAUUUUCCCACAUACUCAGCGCCUGCGGCGUCUAUCAAGCGGCCCACUCUGCAGGGCAUCACAAUAGCUCUGCCAGAGGGUUUUUCGACGUCUAUCAAGCGGCCCACUCUGUAGGGCAUCGCAAUAGCUCUGGCAGAGGGUUUUCUGACGUCUAUCAAGCGGCCCACUUUGCAGGGCAUUUCAAUAGCUCUGCCAUAGGGUUUUCCGACGUCUAUCAAGUGGCCCACUUUGCAGGGCAUUGCAAUUGCUCUGCCAGAGAUUUCGGAAACGGGAACGGAUACGGGGAUAUGUGUGCCCAAGGAGGGACAAAGGAGUUUCUGGCUACUAUGCUUCCUUUAGAUGUUGCUUCAAUUCAGUAACCAGUAUUCUAUUUUUAGGGUACUAAAAUGUCUUUUAGUUUUGCUACGAUUUAGACUGCCAAGAUGAAAUUCAAAGUUACUUCUAGAUCAUUCUUUUUCAACUCUGAGUUGAGGCUUGUGAUCAGUUGCAUAGUUUCAUAUAGUUUGUAGAGAUAAACUUGCGUUACAAGAUGGAACUUAGUUCUUGGUUGACAUUGGUUUUUUUUUAGUUAAUUCUCCAAUCUAUUCUGAGCUUAUCUACUAUUCAACCUCCAGUUGUCGUUU